rnacentral:rRNA from 1 species
GACGAACGCUGGCGGCGUGCUUAACACAUGCAAGUCGAACGGGAGGAAAAGAGAAGCUUGCUUCUUUUUGAAUCUAGUGGCAAACGGGUGAGUAACACGUAAACAACCUGCCUUCAGGAUGGGGACAACAGACGGAAACGACUGCUAAUACCGAAUGUGUUCCGGAGACCGCAUGAUUUCCGGAAGAAAGGAUGGCCUCUAUUUAUAAGCUAUCGCCUGAAGAGGGGUUUGCGUCUGAUUAGGCAGUUGGUGAGGUAACGGCCCACCAAACCUACGAUCAGUAGCCGGUCUGAGAGGAUGAACGGCCACACUGGAACUGAGACACGGUCCAGACUCCUACGGGAGGCAGCAGUGGGGAAUCUUCCGCAAUGGACGAAAGUCUGACGGAGCAACGCCGCGUGAGUGAUGACGGCCUUCGGGUUGUAAAGCUCUGUGAUCGGGGACGAAUGGCUGGUAUGCUAAUACCAUAUCAGAGUGACGGUACC